GUGCUGGGAUUAAAGGCGUGAGCCACCACACCCGGCUUGUUUUUUUGGUUUUUUUUUUUUUUUUUACACUUGGACGAGGAACUGAAGUAUCUCCCACUUAAUUACACAAUGGACAUUUCUCCAACGGACUUCAUGCUGCCUAGUGCAGAUGGAGGAAUUCAGAAACAGGGCCUCGAGCCAUGGAAGCUGGGUCAACCUACCUCACCCAUGUGAAGACCUGGCAUUCAACUCUUGGAGUGUGGUCUCCACCUGGACAACCUGAUAGUUCCAAUUGCUGCAAAGUUACAUUCCACAGACAGAAUAUUCCAACACAGCACAGCUAGCUUGAAAUUGAUAAGAUGGUACAAACUACAGCGACACUCUAAGCUGGGCAUUGAAGAUAUUCAAUUCUUGCCAGCUCUGAGGCUCCCACUGCCCUUCCCAUUUGCAGCCUCACCAGAGGUCAGCCUAUGCUGGAAUUGGGACUCAAAAGCGCAGGAGUCAGACUAUAAAACACCCUAGGGGUCACAGUGAACACAGUGGUACCAAGGAAGGAAACUGACCUUGGUUCCCAGUUUCCAAGACUUGCUCCACCCCACCCCCGCCCGCCUUCUCAGCCUUUCCCUCCCUCCCUUCCACCCUCCUUCCCCACUCCCUUUCUCAGGUCCUUCUCAAGGCCAGGGCUUGGGUCUCUGACCCUUGACCCAGCUUGUGUCGACGAUGCCUUGUUGGGAGCCAGCAACACCUCUCUUCACUGAAGGCAAAGCUUGGGCAGUUCUGUGCUGUUGCGCAUUGGACUCGGGCCUUGGGAGAGAAUUCAUUUUCAAACCACAAAGCAAAGGAUGAUAGUAGAGAGCGGCUAUGAGGGAAAGAGAGUCGGUGCUUGGCCUCCAGGGUCUGGAGCAGCUCCUGUGUCAAAGGAAUCAACCCUGUCCCUCCUCGCACUGCACUGCUUCCAUGGAAGGUGCCAGUUAGUGCCUUCUCUGCCAUCCCACACAGUUCUCACCAAGCCAUAAGAUGAGCGUGCUCUCCGUGACCAAGUCCAGCACACUGGCACCCCCUUUCCAGAGCAGAGCCGGCAUGCAUACAGGAAUCUGGUCCUCACUGCAUGGCCUUGGACAGAGGGGGCUAGUGGGGAAACCUCGGGAAUCUCCUCCUCCAGGAGUUGGCAUCGACCUGAAGAUGAGAGAUCACUGAGUCAAAGUCAGUGCCAGAGGAGCCUGGUGCAGGAGCCCUGCGGAAAAAAAUGGUGGGAUGAAGGACAGAGGUGCACCGGAUGAUCUGUGUGGUGCUGAGUUCAGCUGCGCUGGUCCCACCUCAGGGGUCAUCGUUCUCCAACUCUGCCAUGUAAUGAUCGACAUUUAAGUAAUAAUCCUGAAACUCGAGACUCAGAUGCAGUUACCCUGUGUGGCAAAGCAGAGCUAAGGUUUCGGUCACUGCUGAAAUCAUAGCUGGUAUCCACUCUGGGAACAGCUUCAGUACUUUAAGGAAUCCCAGACAGCUGAGGGCCAUGCUUGGCUGGCUGGGCUGAUUGUGGUCUGACUCUCACCUAUGAUAAUAAAGGGCCCUCACUGUAGAUUAACUGACCUCGGGUCUACCAUUUCAAACUCAGAGCUGAGCCUGCACCAAAAUGAGCAGAUGACAGCCAUUCUUCCGAAUGCACUGAUUAAUAGCUCGUGAAACCGAGGAUGGCAAAUCGGGCUUUUUAUCCACACCAGACUGACCCUUGGAAGGGACACAAAACACUAUCCACUGGCAGUUUCGCCACUGUUCCACAGAUAACCUGACAAGCCUAAUAAAGUGGCGGGUGUGUGGCUCCCAGUCUGUGCAGACAGAUGCAAAAGCAGGCCACAGCAAGGCUACAAUGUAAGACCCCGACCCUCCUCUGUCAGUGGUACUUAACUUCGAAAUGCAGAUCGAUGCAAAAGCAAGAGGUUUAUUUUCUGGCACACCAGGAGUCGACCUUCAACUAGUCCCUCAAGGCAGGUGACUAGAAGGCGACCCCAAAUGGCUAUUACAAGCAGUUUUUAUACUUUUGAGGGGCACAGGUUACAUCAGCAAGGUUACAGUUCAAACUCAUUGGCUAAGCAUAUUGACCUUUAAAUCUAUUGACUAGCAAGCAUGACACACAUUUGAACUCUACCUGGAACUUUCCAGAGGGUCGGGUAACUAUGUCAGUACAUUCUGAGAAUUUUUUUUACUCAAGAAUGUUCCUGUGGGUGGACAAUGGAACUUGGCCUAGCCUUGACUCCAAGUGGGAGGGGGAAGCCGUAAGGUGGGUGUGAAACUGGAAAACCCCUCAGGGUCCAUCAGGAUGAAGUAAGUCAAAUUGCCACUGUUGGCCCAGCUUUGCAACCGAGAAUUCAAAAGGCUGUUACCAUCGAUGUGUGCCCCUGGUGUUGACUCGGUGAGAACAGGCUUGGUACACCCUUGUUUUCUGAAAGGAUCGGUCCCAUGCUCCUAAGGGUCCCAUGCUUCCAAAGGUUUGCUCAACAGGCCCCACCACCGAGGAGGGUUGCAAGUGACACUCAGGGGCCCUAGUGUACUGGCAGGACUGGAGGCAGAUGACACAUGCAUUAGACUGUCUGUUCUGUGGAUCUUCCCGAGUACACAGACUGUCAUUUCCAGCUGCCUCCGGUGCCAAGCAAACCACUCUUCAGAUAUUGACCGAAUCGAGACGGAAGGUCACGGCCAUUGGCCAUUGCCGGCAGCAGGCCAGCCCUUCUGGAAACUCUGGAUUUUGAGAGACUGUCUGCAAUGUUCACUUUGCUCACUCAGGAGACUCACACCCCACAACUACUGCCUUCUCUAUCUAGGAUCUCCCGGGGACUGAGUCCAGCUAACACUAGCACUAUCCAGGACCCAUGGACUAGCUGAAAUCCUGAGCCCAGAACAAAGCCUUGAGGCUCAAGUCACCAACAUCAGAGAGGCACCCAUGAGACAAUGGCCUCUGCUCCUGCUCUCCUCAGAGUGACAUCGCAAGGAGGCGUGGGAAGGAUGGACUAUGAAUCCCUGACGGCAGAUCCUUAGUGUGUACUGUGUUCAUCACUGGUAUGAAAUAAAUCCUUGGUUGAGUCUGUAGUUCCCAGCCAAGGAACACUGAGAGGGUGGACUUGGUGCAGGAAAAAUAAAAUAGCAUAAGUGUCUGUGCAAUAAACACCGAUGCAGCACCAGACCUGGUCAGCACUUGCCAAAAGAGCAGGUGCAGCGGCACGUGCCCGACUCUCAGCAGGCUGAGCUUGCAGCUCAAGAUACACAGCAAGGUCAAGGAACCCACGUUAUGUUGCAGUUCCCUUCUAGAAAGAAAGAGAGCGAUUGAGAGCAAGAGAGACAGACAGACAGAGAGGAUGAGGUGGGGGAGGGAGGGAGAGAGAGAGUCAGAAGAGCCAAAUCAAGAUACCUUUUAAACUUGAUCCAACGUUGGUAGCCCACUAUAGAUAAGGACACUAGAAAGGCAUGAGGACCUUAAGGUGUGGGAAGACUUAAAAGCUCUUUUGAGUAGAUGUGCUAUAGAUUCUUGUUUUCAUCAGUUCUGAUUAUAAUUUUAUAACAUGCAUUUACUGGGCUGUGUCUCAGGGAUACUAAUAUGCUAAUUUUAAGUCACUUAUUUCUGCUCACAUGUAUGAAACUCAACUUCUUCGUGCAUUUUAUAACUGGAUUUUCCCACACAAGAAGACUAACAUAUGUGGCACCUACCUUAUUUUAUUACUAUGCCUAAUGAAAAAUGCUCUAUCAUUUUGGGGGUAUUUUGAACUUCAAACACAGGUUCUCUAAGUAAUGCAUUAAUUAUGCAUCAGUUAACAUAUAAAAGUGGCUUCGGAUUUCACCCCUUGUCACCUCACUUUGAACAAAAACUAGAGAUGAAAUAAAAACAAAUCGUUUAACUGAGUUAUAGCUGGGUACUAGGGACACACAACAAUCAUCGAAUAUUUCAUUCACCUGUGGGAGCAGGGCAGAGGAUCCGGGUGACACCCUGGGGUGAUGUCGGGUGUCACCCGUGGCAGUUGGUUCACAUCCAAGUUCCUUUUAUCCGGGUGCUCACCCUGCUGUCCUGAAAGCAAGUACUGAAACCUCUUGUGUGUGUGUUUUUAUCCUGAAUGUCAUGAGCAUAAAGUUUAUACCUCUCGUGGAUUGAGGAGGCUAAACCUGGCCCAUCCUUCCAGCCCAGCCCUGCCCUGCCCCCUUUCCUGACUGAAACAAACUAAGUUAGAAGAGGGGUGGGGGCAGUGUGGGAGGGAAGGGAUAAAUUUCUAAGAAGGAAUGAGUUUCCACUUUAAGAAAAGUGGCUCGUUUUGUACAUCUCUUGGUAUUAGCCAUUUAAACAGAUUGAGUUUCGUUCACACAAUGUAGUGUCUUCGUGACCGUCAGGGAAAACCUACUUCCACUGCACCGAGAGGCCUGGAGGCCUGUGGCUUGGCAGAGCCCUUCCUCAGCAUCCACCAACCCAAGAAUGCCACCCUGGUUUGAUGCUCAGCCCUUGUGCAUCCUAGGCCUCACUGACCUCAUCCGAGGAAACCUCUCUCCUCCUUCUGAGGUCACUUUCUGUCUCCCCAUUUGCACAGACAGACAGGACUUGUGUGGACUUAAAGAGCCGGGCUGUGUGGCAGCAGGGCAGCAGGAGAUGCUUGGAACUGAGUUAGGCUGCUUCAUCAGUGGACUCUGUUGGCUCAGCACCAGCCAUGGAUCUCACUCCUCACCCUUUACCCCUUCUGAGCAUUGUCCUCCAUGCCUGAAUUCUCUCACCAGUCUCCCCUCCUUCCCUCUGUCCCCCUAUAGCAGGGCCACCUUCAGCUUACAAUGCUGGUUUCUCUCCAUACCCCAUCUCCCCCCCUCCCCAUGUCUCAGUGGACUACACAUCUGUGUCUGCAUGAACCUCGAAAACAAGUGGUCCCUGAGGUUCUGCCUCCAGCCCUCACGUUCCCAGUUCUGUUCAUGGGUCUUCCUCAGAUGUCCUCCAACAGCGUCGAUGAUGUCACCCACAGCAUCCAUGAUAUUCCCCAACAGCAUCCAUGAUGUCCCCUGACAGCAUCCAUGAUGUCCCCUGACAGCAUCCAUGAUGUCCCCUGACAGCAUCCAUGAUGUCCCCGACAGCAUGCUGGUUUCUUUCCUUGCACAGCCGCUUCCUGAAUCAGUCACCUUAACUCUGCUACAUGCUGGCACGCCCUGCUUCAAGUCUUUCUUUCCCACACUCUGCCCUAUCAACAAAUUGAUACCAAACUUUUUCAACCACAUCCCUGGAAUGCACUCAGAAUUAAUCUUGGCUGCCUCCCAGUUACCUUGGGUCUGCUCCGACCCCAACUUCAAGGGCAUCAGCCUUGAUUUCUUUUAAACCCAGAGCUUGUGUCUCUGUCUCCAGGCAAAUGUCUCUUAUCUCACCCAUCCCUGCAGACACUGGCAUUCCUCGGGGCUAUGCACUUGUUCCUUAAAAAAAGAGACAGCUCAGAUUCCUUAGAGAAGGGGAAAAAAUUCCUAAGUGCUCAGUAUGGGGAAUUGAGAACUGUUCUCCCUGUGAUGGGGAAACAUUCUGUCCUGAUGUUAGUACCAUGCAGCCUGGGAAACUCUAGCUUGGGGUGGUGGUGGUGGUGCGCAUGCUCAGUGCAAUGACAGAUGAGUUGUCCACACCCUGGUCUCCAUGUUCCAUGCCCAAAAGCCCUCAAUUAAGUUCUUUCAAUAGGAAGACUGAAGAGUGUCUGUCAUCCAUUGGCCACUUCAUCAUGAAACAUGCCCCAACUUAAAAUCCACGUCCUCUCUGACAGCCUGAUUAUUCUCCCUGAGAACACUCCACGAACCUCUCAAAUCUGUUCAUUUAGAAUUCCUGGUAUAAUGUUGGAUAAUUCAUCUAGAUUUGCACACAUGAAUCUCUUUUCCCUGGGCAAAGAAGACUCACUGCAUCUUCCUUCACUUCUCAGAGCUCUCAUAUGGCCCAGCGUGUCUACUCAGAAGAAAAUGCAAACGGAAGUCUAUGUAUGCGAACAUGUCUGCACAAGAAGGAAGCCAGGCAGAAAUAUACGAGCCAUCAUCACAUUGAGCACCGAGCUACAGAAAUAUCUGAAAAAGUAGCAGAAACUGUCAGGGCUAGUUUCACCAGAAGGCUUGAAUCGGCAAGGGCUUGUAGCACCCAGGCCAUGUGAAGGUGUGGAAACAGCUAGGGGUUUUAGCUACUGAACUCACAGAGAUGGAGAAUAGAAUGGGAGUGUCGGAGCCUAGGAGAGAGGAGUGAGGAGUUUGUGUUCCUCAGGAAUGGGAAGAAGUCCUGGCAAUGAUGGGGAGUGAGAAACAUCCUAGAACUGCAAAGCCACUCAACUGUUUGCAGCUCCACAGAUUUGCACAUCAACAGCUUAGACAGUCCGAGGACACACAGGAAAAAGAUACAAGCUCAGUCCCUUCCACGGCUCUCACAGCAGUCUUUGGACAACUGUGUGGGUUUCCCUACACAUCAAUCCAGUAGUCAGUUCUUGGCAAAGUCCUGCAAGGCAGCCUCCAAUAUCAUUCAAUUUGGAUUUGAUUCUUCCAGGAAGCAAAGGCGGACACCACAGAGCAGGGCUGGGGCCUCCAGAUGGCCUCUGCUUCGGGACCAAUUUCAAAUCCCAGCGUCCAGAACUUACCACCUAUCAGUUAGGGAUUACACACACACACACACACACACACACCCCUUUGGCUCUGAUUAAUCUGCUAGCCCUGCUCACAGAACUCAGGGAAACAUGUUUCCUAAUUUAUUAUGAAGAGCACUCUAAAGGAUAUAAAUAAAACAUCUCAUGCAGGCCUCCAUCUAGAAGGGUCCUAAGGACAGGUGCUUCUAUCCCCCAGGGAUUGAGGGUCUGACUGCUACAUGAGUAAAAUCUUACUCACCUCCUGGGAGCCUCCAUGUGUUUGUUACCCAGAUCUUUCUAGAUACUCCAUUGAGGUCAGGUCACAGAUAGAUGUGUAGAAAGGUUAUUGUACAAAAGGGUUUGACUUCAGUCCAACUGAGUGGCGAGAGAGUCCUGUGUGCUCAGACUCGUGACCUCUGCACGUGUCUCCAUCCUCAGAGCUAGGCAGGAGCCUGUGGAAUGGGGUCCUAGGAUAUGCUAUCAUUUCCAAGUAGGUCAGAAAACAUCUUUAUGGCUGGUCCCAAGCCAGAGGCAGGAUAAACCAGAGCAUGUCACUGUGACCCGCCCUCAGAAGAGACCAUCAGUGAAAAGAUGAGAAGGGAGGACUUUUGCUUUCUGGGACGUGGAUGCUCCAAGCAUGAUCACAACACACUUUUGCCUGGAUCCCUUAGCCUUCCAGAGGUGCUUCAGCUUUCACAACAGAUGCACUGAUUGUUCUAGCCACUUAGCCAAUAGCCAUAGCCAAGGGGACCUCGGACAAAACCCAACACAUAUACAUAUAUACUUGUUGGGAGCCGACACUUAGCAGAAAGUGGCUGUCAUCUCUGCAGCCAUCUCAGGCUAUUUACUUACAGGUGGUCUUUUCCACCCUGACGAGAGACUUGGUUUCCUACCAUGAUGUUUUUGCAAGAAGCCCACCACAGCUGAACACACUGAUAACAUCUGGUUUUUCUCCUACACAUCCUGGAGCUGUGGUUAAGUGUCUCCAGCUGCACUCCCCAGCAAGUGCAUGCAUACCUGUAGUUGCCUUUCAAUAAAGGAGACCGAGACUUGAGACUUGAGCAGAUA